rnacentral:lncRNA from 10 species
AUGCAAGUGAACCAGUGACCUGCAGUUCUGCCCACACAGGGUUAAUAACCAAUCAGAUUCUCUCUUUUCAAGAUGGUUAACAUAACAGACACCAAGAAAGGGAAGAGGAGCCGACAGCAGAGGGGGAAGCUGAAAAGACGCACAAAGAAUGGCCAUAAAAGAUAUGAGUAUGUUGAGUGAUUAGUGAUCGGAAACUACGAGUGAUAUGGUACAGGUGUUUGUAGAAGAACAGUAAAGCCAUUGAUCAGGCAACCCCAGCUUUCCAGACAGUCACUUUUCCCAGUGGUCAUACCUGGUCUGGAAGAUUCCCCAUCAUCUCGAAUAAAGGUAAGCACUUCCUAAG